GGAGGAUCUGAAUGCUCACGCACGUGGGAUGGCUGCAAGAUCCCAGCAACUUCAGGGUAGCAGAAAGGACAAAAGACAAGUGUCAGGGGACAUGCCACUAACCAUCUGGGCAACAUCAGAGAAAUCUUCCAGCCCUGGUUAAGCUCCAAAGAUUCAUCUGAAACAAUGGAUAAAACUAUUUGUUCUGCCUACUGCACAGGUUUGUUGUAAAGAUCAAGCAAAAUCACGUAUGUGAAAGUACUCUGAAAAGUAUAAAGCAGCAUUCAAACGUAAAAGUAUUAAACUCUCUGCCCUUUUCCCUUGCUUCUCUGAAGUCAUAUUUCGUGUUUGGCUUGUGUCUGCUGGCAGAAAGCACUUAUAACGGCCAGUGGGGUCACCUCCCCUAAGCACACUGAAGCAAGUGCUGCCAGCACUUUUUCUUUAAAAAUAAGGAAGUGGUCCUGUCCUUGGAGAAGGCAAUAGAAAAUGCUUGCUUAGUAGCGUGUACCCGCUCAGGCUCACUUUGCCAAAGAGCCUGCAAUUCCAAGUCAGUUCCGUUUAGUUCAGAAACUGAGGGGCUCCCAGAGAAUCCCAUUGAAGGAACCUUCCUGUGGUCUUCAGGCGCGCUCUGUGCUCCGUUUUCCUCACCUGUAAUAUCGGGAUAAUAACUGUCUCCACCUCAUAGGGUUGUCGCAAAGAUUAAAUGAGUGACCUAUGUAACCAAGCCUGGCGCAAAAUAAACG